rnacentral:lncRNA from 1 species
CAGUUUUGAGUUUCCUCUUUCCACUGUAUAUAUAAUAAGACCAUUCUCUCAGCCUAGCUAAUAAGAUUUGUGAGAGAAAGGGAGAAAGGGUGUGAGAAUGGAGAGCAAAGAGGAAGAUGUAAGGGUUGGAGCAACUAAGUUCUCAGAAAGGCAACCAAUUGGUACAGCAGCUCAGGGUGACAAGGACUACAAAGAACCACCCCCAGCACCUUUGUUUGAGCCUGGUGAGCUAAAGUCAUGGUCCUUCUACAGAGCUGGAAUUGCUGAGUUUGUGGCCACUUUCUUGU